GACGACGCUGGCGGCGUGGAUUAGGCAUGCAAGUCGAACGGUAUCAUCCUUUCGGGGGUGAGAGAGUGGCGAACUGGUGAGUAACACGUAGGUUAUCUACCCUCAAGACGGGGACAACCCAGGGAAACUUGGGCUAAUACCGGAUGUGAGCAACUUUUAGUUGUUUGAAAGGUGGCGUAAGCUGCCGUUUGGGGAUGAGCCUGCGCUCUAUUAGUUAGUUGGCGGGGUAAAGGCCCACCAAGGCGAUGAUAGAUAGGCGGCCUUAACGGGUGGUCGCCCACACUGGGAUUGAGAUACGGCCCAGACUCCUACGGGAGGCAGCAGUCGAGAAUAGUCUACAAUGGCCGAAAGGCUGAUAGUGCGACGCCGCGUGAACGAAGAAGCCCUUCGGGGUGUAAAGUUCUUUUAUAUGUGAGCAGUGCUUUCUAUGUGAACAGCAUGGGGAGAGAGAUAUUAGCAUAUGAAUAAGCAACGGCUAACUCCGUG
rnacentral:rRNA from 1 species